GGAGGUGACAAGCCAGAACACGAACCACAGGGACUUCUCCACACAGACUGGGAAAAAGAUCAUUUGCAAGUCAGUUUAACACAAAGUAUUAUUUUAAAUGGAUUUCAUUUCAUUUCAUUGUUAAAUAUAAAUUACUAUUUCUGGGGAUCCUGUCUUAUAGAGGUGUGGAACUCACCAUUCCAUGAGGCUGACUAGAUGGUGAAACCCAGGAACCUACCUGCCUCUGCUCCCCAGUACUGGGAUCAUAAGCACACACCACUAACUACUCCCAGCUUUUUCAUCUGGGUUCUGGAGAGAACUGGGAUCCUCAGGAUUGCACAGCAAGCACCUUACCAAUCAAACAAUCUCCAGGCUACAUAUAUGAACUGCCAUACCUAACCAAUAAAGAUUUAUCAUGUGACUCCUUG
rnacentral:lncRNA from 1 species